rnacentral:rRNA from 1 species
GUACAAGCAGUAGGAGCCCUUCGGGGUGACUGCGUACCUUUUGUAUAAUGGGUCAGCGACUUACUGUCAGUGGCAAGCUUAACCGUAUAGGGGAGGCGUAGCGAAAGCGAGUCUUAAUAGGGCGUUUUAGUCGCUGGGAGUAGACCCGAAACCGGGCGAUCUAGCCAUGGGCAGGGUGAAGGUUAGGUAACACUGACUGGAGGCCCGAACCGGGAUCUGUUGAAAAAGAUUCGGAUGACCUGUGGUUAGGAGUGAAAGGCUAAUCAAGCUCGGAGAUAGCUGGUUCUCCUCGAAAGCUAUUUAGGUAGCGCCUCGGACGAAUACCACUGGGGGUAGAGCACUGUUAAGGCUAGGGGGUCAUCGCGACUUACCAACCCUUUGCAAACUCCGAAUACCAGUGAGUACUAUCCGGGAGGCACACGGCGGGGUGCUAACGUCCGUCGUGAAAAGGGAAACAACCCAGACCGCCAGCUAAGGUCCCCAAUCAUGGCUAAGUGGGAAACGAUGUGGGAAGGCAUAGACAGCUAGGAGGUUGGCUUAGAAGCAGCCAUCCUUUAAAAG